rnacentral:tRNA from 1 species
UCCCUGGUGGCUCAGAGGUUAAAGCAUCUGCUUGCAAUGCAGGAGACCCAGGUUCAAACCCUGGGUUGGGAA